rnacentral:lncRNA from 1 species
GCGCCUUUUGAAGUUUCUUCAUGAGAGAUUCUGGGAAAUAUCUCAUCUGAAACAGCGCCCUGAAUCAGACCCAGAGCUUUAGCAUCCUUCAUGAGCACCUCAACAAGCGUCAUCCUCCCAGCACCACUAGACUCUUCUUUGUCUUUCUUCUUCGCCUCAGAUUCAUCAAUCUUCUUCAGAUCUGAUUCAUCGAAACCCUUUUCAACCAGAUUCCACAAUCCGUAGGACUUGAAAAUGGUCUUCAUCUUAAUACUCCAGAACUCAUAAUUUUCACCAUUGAAAAUUGGUGCUCUCACCUCACCACUACCCGAUCCUGCCAUGUUAGACUCAGAUCGCAAUCAACUCG